rnacentral:rRNA from 1 species
GUUCMAGUCGAAACGCCGUAGCAAUACGGAGUGGCAGACGGGUGAGUAACGCGUGGGAACCUUCCCAAUGGUACGGAAUAGCCCAGGGAAACUUGGAGUAAUACCGUAUAAGCCCGAAAGGGGAAAGAUUUAUCGCCAUUGGAUGGGCCCGCGUCGGAUUAGCUAGUUGGUGAGGUAAUGGCUCACCAAGGCGACGAUCCGUAGCUGGUCUGAGAGGACGAUCAGCCACACUGGGACUGAGACACGGCCCAGACUCCUACGGGAGGCAGCAGUGGGGAAUAUUGGACAAUGGGCGCAAGCCUGAUCCAGCCAUGCCGCGUGAGUGAUGAAGGCCUUAGGGUUGUAAAGCUCUUUUGGCGGGGACGAUAAUGACGGUACCCGCAGAAUAAGCCCCGGCUAACUUCGUGCCAGCAGCCGCGGUAAUACGAAGGGGGCUAGCGUUGUUCGGAAUCACUGGGCGUAAAGCGCACGUAGGCGGACUUUCAAGUCAGGGGUGAAAUCCCGGGGCUCAACCUCGGAACUGCCUUUGAUACUGUUGGUCUCGAAUCCGGUAGAGGUGGGUGGAAUUCCUAGUGUAGAGGUGAAAUUCGUAGAUAUUAGGAAGAACACCGGUGGCGAAGGCGGCCCACUGGACCGGUAUUGACGCUGAGGUGCGAAAGCGUGGGGGAGCAAACAGGAUUAGAUACCCUGCUAGUUCACGCCGUAAACGAUGGAUGCUAGYCCGUUGGCAAGCUUGCUUGUCGGUGGCGCAGCUAACGCAUUAAGCAUCCCGCCUGGGGGAGUACGGCCGCARGGUUAAAAACUCAAAGGGAAUUGACGGGGGCCCKGCACAAGCGGUUGGAGCAUGUGG